GAUGAACGCUGGCGGCGUGCCUAAUACAUGCAAGUCGAGCGAACAGACGCGGCUCUUGCUCCUCUGACGUUAGCGGCGGGCGUGUGAGUAACACGUGGAUACCCUCCCUAUCAGACUGGUAUAACUUCGGGAAACCGGCGCUAAUCCCGGAUAAUCUCUUGCACCGCAUGGUUCAAUAGUGAAAGACGGUUUUGCUGUCUCUUAUCGCUGGAUCCGCGCCGCAUUAGCUAGUUGUGAAGGUAACGGCUUACCACGGCAACGAGGCGUAAACGACCUGAGAGGGGGGUAGGCGACAUGGGAACUUAGACACGGUCCAUGCGACUACGGGAGGGACCAGUAGGGAACCGUCCGCAGCGGGCGAAAGCAUGACGGAGCAACGCCGCGCGAGAGAUGAAGGUCUCCGGAGCGGAAAACUGUGUUAUGAGUGAAGAACAAAUGUGGAAGUAACUAUGCACGGAUUGACGGUACCGAAUCAGAAAGCCACGGCUAACUACGUG
rnacentral:rRNA from 1 species